rnacentral:lncRNA from 1 species
GCCCAUAUUUUUGGGCCCCCGAGCUCAAUUGUUUAUUUUUUUAGACAAUUUGGGUUUUAUAUUUUUUUUCACCCGUAUUUUAAUUUUGGCCUGAAGUUCAAAUAAUUAAUUCAAUUAUAAUUUUAGACUUGAAUAUCUAUUUACAUAUUUUCUUGUUACAUAUAUCUAUAUAUAAUUGUGUUUGUCUGCAAGAACAUAUGAACCUGAAAUUCAUAAUUAUUUUGAAACAUGAAGUUUCUAGAAACAUGCCUUAUUUGAAAACCUGAAGUUUUCCUUCAAAACUUCACCCAUGAAAACCUGAAGUUUUUUCAUGUAAAUUUAAACCAAUACAGGUCUAUUAGAACCUGAGUGUUCUACUCUUAUAUGAAUGGAUUGAUUUUUCUCCAUUACACUAACCACAUCUUGUCCAUUUAUUUUGUAAUAGGAAUAUGUCGAAUUUGAACAAAUUCGACUUCACUGCGUUGGAGGUCUCUAGAAAAAACUACCUCAAGUAGGUCCAAGAUGUGAAGCUCCACCUCACUGUAAAGAAUUUGCGUUCCGCCAUUGAAGAUGAGACGGACAACCUAGUUAGCGAAGCUGAGAAAGCCACUGCUAUG